AACGAACGCUGGCGGCAGGCUUAACACAUGCAAGUCGAGCGCCCCGCAAGGGGAGCGGCAGACGGGUGAGUAACGCGUGGGAAUCUACCCAUCUCUACGGAAUAACGCAUGGAAACGUGUGCUAAUACCGCAUACGUCCUUCGGGAGAAAGUUUUAUCGGAGAUGGGUGAGCCCGCGUUGGAUUAGCUAGUUGGUGGGGUAAAGGCCUACCAAGGCGACGAUCCAUAGCUGGUCUGAGAGGAUGAUCAGCCACACUGGGACUGAGACACGGCCCAGACUCCUACGGGAGGCAGCAGUGGGGAAUAUUGGGCAAUGGGCGCAAGCCUGAUCCAGCCAUGCCGCGUGAGUGAUGAAGGCCCUAGGGUUGUAAAGCUCUUUCACCGGUGAAGAUAAUGACGGUAACCGGAGAAGAAGCCCCGGCUAAUUUCGUGCCAGCCGCCGCAGUAAGAC
rnacentral:rRNA from 1 species